CUUCUGCCGGGAGGUUCUGUUCACCACCACGGAAUUCCCGAUGUAAUCCUCCAUGAGGUACAGUGGUGGCGGCUCCAGGGGCGUGUUGUCACUCAGGAGGACUCGGGGAGAGUUGUAGCGUCUCUGCUGCCUCAAGAGAUCUAAAGCUUGUUUUUUAAAAUGUCUGCCUGAAUGAGUUUAAUAAUAAGAGAAUUUAUCGAAUCUUCUGGCAAACUCCUUUGAUCCAUGUUGGAAGACUGGAUGCCACGAAGCAAAUAAUUCUGGUGUUUGUGGCCAUGCCUGCAGAAGUUCUACAAUGCAAUUCACAAAGCAGAACAAAUGCUUACUCAGUGCAGACCAGUAAGUAAAUUAUCUGUAAAGGGAACUUAGACUGUGGGCAUGAUUUCAGCAUAUGUGUCCUAUCUGAGAGAAUACUGACUCAAAUUCCAGGUUCCUGGGGGGCCCAGGAUUCUGUGGACCUCAGCAGAAGCUACUUCAGCACAAGCAGCUCUUUCUUUGGCCUUUUGGAGAAUGGUAGAAAAAUCUCCCAAGAAUUAAAUCCUUCAUGUGACUUUUUCUGCUCUUUAAUUGGAAUUUUGUUUUGUUUUGUUUUGUUUUUCAAAUCAGAUUAUUCAUUUCAAGUGGAAAGAUUUUGCCCAAGCUAAAUUAUUUUCCUUGGUUAGGUGAUGCUAGUGAGGUUUUUUUGUUGUUCUUCAUGGUUCUUCUUGGAAUUUUCCACAUGUAAAUUCCUGACAAAAGUUCAUUUUGGCUGUGUUUGUGGCCAGUUUGCACUAAGCAAAUUUCACUUGGAGACUGCUGACAUUUGUGGCUCAGAGAGAAAAAGCAAAGAGCACAGAAAAAAAAAAGCUCAUGCAUUGCAAAUCUGAAUGAUCUCCCAACUGUGGCUUUACUCUAUUUUAAUGGUUUGUAUUCCUGCCUAUCACUGCAGUUUUAGCAGGCUAUUAAUUCUGUCUGAGCUAGGUGGCUCAAGGUCUACAUUUAGGAGAAGUAAAUAAGUUUACCUCUUCCUUCCAUUGAUAAAUUCAAUCCCUAAUAAACUCUAGCAAACCAUUUGCUGCUCUUUUCAGACUCACCAUUUUAUGUAGUAGUGAAAAAUUUUGUUUAGUUUUGUUUGUGGAUUUAAAAAAUGUGUAUAGCUUUAUUCUGGUCAGAAAUAAUGCUGUAUAGCUUUAUUUCCAAACAUUCCAAACAGGGAAAGAGCGAGACAUCAUUUAAAAUGUUCUGCAGAAAGCAUGAAAUCCUAGUACUGUGAGAGACUGCCCAAGUAUUUACUUGUAAGUCAUUGCUAAGAGGAACUGGAAUAGAAGGAAAAGUGACUGGUGAGUUUUACAUUCAACAUUGUAAUACCCCACAUGAUUUAUGUAAACCAGCUUGAAGUGUUUGGCACUUCCUAAAAAAAUUUUAGAGCAGCUUCAGCUCUUCAGACCAAGCAAUUAAUGAUCCUUUGUGAUGGCUGACAGCUUUUCCAGGCUUUUACCAAAGAGGAAAGUGUAAUUAUUGUCACUGUUUGCUGAACACUGCUUCCACAACCUCCCAAGUCAUAAAUUGCUCUGUGGAUUCCCUCUUCCUAAUAACUAUGUUGGGAAGAAAUGCAGCCCUCUUCCUCUGUGCUUUGGGGGACAUGGGGAAGGUACAGAGCAAGAAAAGAAUUCUGAAUGUUCAAGAAGGUGGGUAUGCGACAUAACUGUGUCUGAAAAUUUGCACUGUGUUCCAGAAUAGUAAUAAGCUGUACAAGAUGGAUUUAUGAAGGUAGGUUGCUGCAGAGUGCUGAAUGUCCCAGUAGACACCCUCCUGAACACUUCUACUUCUCAGGAUAUGGAAAUUUCAACACAGAUUGAAACUAAAGCUUUCACAAGAGCCAGGCCCUCUGAGAAGCUGAAGAAUUCAGAGAAAAAAUCAAGUAAUGGCAGCCCAAAGUGUUAACCCUCCCAUCCUGAGGGGCAACCAAACUGGAAGUUAGAGUGAGGGGAUAGGGAAUGAAUCCAUUCCUCUGGCACACUGGCAGGGGAGCGCAGCUACACAUCUGGGGGGUAGCCCACCAAGGUUUCUUUUAUCUCUGCAGCAGCUCAGAGGUGUAUUAAUUAAUUUACUCAAGGCCAUUUAUAAAAGAGAAGACACAUCUGAGCACUGAGCCCCAGUAACCUCCAGUGAAAGGUGCAUACCUAAUUUCUUAUGGAAAUGGAGUUCAGCCCACAGAGUCACUGACAUUUCUUCUUCAAAUGACUGGCUGAGCAAAGCACAGCAGGACAGCUGCUCACCCGAACAUGUAAAAUUCGUCUGCACUUGGCGCCAACCCACAACACUGUGGGUAUGAUCAUGACCCUACUGGUCACUGGGGAAAGCUUUCCCAACCGGUGACAUCUUCCUGAGGGCCAAUUCU